AAUGCAUCGGAACGUGUCCUUAAGUGGGGGAUAACGCAUCGAAAGAUGUGCUAAUACCGCAUAAUCUCUGAGGAGAAAAGCAGGGGAUCGUAAGACCUUGCGCUUUUGGAGCGGCCGAUGCCUGAUUAGCUAGUUGGUGGGGUAAUGGCCUACCAAAGCUUCGAUCAGUAGCUGGUCUGAGAGGACGGCCAGCCACACUGGGACUGAGACACGGCCCAG
rnacentral:rRNA from 1 species